rnacentral:rRNA from 1 species
UACAGAGGGUGCAAGCGUUGUUCGGAAUUAUUGGGCGUAAAGGGCGCGUAGGCGGUCUGUCGCGUCGGCUGUGAAAACCCGAGGCUCAACCUCGGGCCUGCAGUCGAUACGGGCAGACUAGAGUGCUGUAGGGGAGACUGGAAUUCCUGGUGUAGCGGUGAAAUGCGCAGAUAUCAGGAGGAACACCGGUGGCGAAGGCGGGUCUCUGGGCAGUAACUGACACUGAGGAGCGAAAGCGUGGGGAGCGAACAGG